rnacentral:rRNA from 1 species
GACGAACGCUGGCGGCGUGCUUAACACAUGCAAGUCGAGCGGUAAGGCCCUUUCGGGGGUACACGAGCGGCGAACGGGUGAGUAACACGUGGGUGACCUGCCCUCAGCUCUGGGAUAAGCCUGGGAAACUGGGUCUAAUACUGGAUAUGACUCCACGGUGCAUGUCGUGGGGUGGAAAGCCUUGUGCGGCUGAGGAUGGGCCCGCGGCCUAUCAGCUUGUUGGUGGGGUGAUGGCCUACCAAGGCGACGACGGGUAGCCGGCCUGAGAGGGCGACCGGCCACACUGGGACUGAGAUACGGCCCAGACUCCUACGGGAGGGCAGCAGUGGGGAAUCUUGCGCAAUGGGCGAAAGCCUGACGCAGCGACGCCGCGUGAGGGAUGACGGCCUCGG